UGUUAUUUUGCGUGGAAUUAAUCCAUCGAAUUGUCUUCUUGUAGUGGUGUGUCCUACGUGGAAUAAUCGCUCGAAAUGUCUUUUUUUGUAGUGGUGUGUCCUACGUGGAAUUAUAACUCGCUCGAAUAUCCUUUUCUCUUGUAGGAAGGGGCGUACCUACGUGGAAACGAAAUGCUUCAAAUAUGAUUUACAAAAACAAUAGUUUAAAACUUUCAACAACGGAUCUCUUGGUUCUGGCAUCGAUGAAGAACGCAGCGAAAUGCGAUAAGUAAUGUGAAUUGCAGAAUUCAGUGAAUCAUCGAAUCUUUGAACGCACAUUGCGCCCAUUAGUAUUCUAGUGGGCAUGCCUAUUCGAGCGUCAUUUCAACCCUUAAGCCCUGUUGCUUAGCGUUGGGAGCCUACGGCUUAGGCCGUAGCUCCUUAAAAUCAGUGGCGGAGUUGUAGCACACUCUAAGCGUAGUAAUUUACGCCUCGCUUCAAGAGUCGCUGCGGCUGCCUGCCGUAAAACCCCCUAUAUUUCUAAUGGUGACCUCGGAUUAGGAGGAAUUCCCCGUUCCUUG
rnacentral:rRNA from 1 species